GACGAACGCUGGCGGCAUGCCUAAUACAUGCAAGUAGAACGCAGUUGCGAACGGGUGAGUAACGCGUAGGUACCUGCCUCAUAGCAGGGGAUCACUAUUGGGAACGAUAGCUAAUACCGCAUACUGUGAGAUGUACCUGCAUUGUAUUGGCUAGUUGGUGAGGUAAAGGCUCACCAAGGCGACGAUACAUAGCCGAUCUGAGAGGGUGAUCCGGCACACCUGGACUGAGAAAACGCUCCGACUCCUACGGGAGGCAGGAGUAGGGAAUUUUUGGCAAUGGACGGAAGUCGUAAUGAGCCAAGCCGAGGGAGGGAAGGAGGGUUUCGGAGUGGAAAGCUCUGUUGUGAGAGGAGCGGUACCGAACCAGAAAGGGACGGCUAACUACGUGCCAGCAGCCGCGGUAAUUC
rnacentral:rRNA from 1 species